AUUGAACGCUGGCGGCAGGCCUAACACAUGCAAGUCGAACGAGUGGCGGACGGGUGAGUAAUGUCUGGGAGACUGCCCGAUGGAGGGGGAUAACUACUGGAAACGGUAGCUCAUACCCCAUACCAUCUGAGGUGCCCAGAGGGGGUUAGCGUGUAGGUGAGGUAAAGGCGCACCUAGGCGACGAUCCCUAGCUGGUCUGAGAGGAUGACCAGCCACACUGGAACUGAGACACGGUCCAGACUCCUACGGGAGGCAGCAGUGGGGAAUAUUGCACAAUGGGGGCAAGCCUGAUGCAGCCAUGCCGCGUGUAUGAAGAAGGCCUUAGGGUUGUAAAGUACUUUCAGCGGGGAGGCGUUACCCGCAGAAGAAGCACCGGCUAACUCCGUGCCAGCAGCCGCGGUAAUAC
rnacentral:rRNA from 1 species